UACAGAGGUCUCAAGCGUUGUUCGGAUUCAUUGGGCGUAAAGGGUGCGUAGGUGGCGAGGUAAGUCUGGUGUGAAAUCCCGGGGCUCAACCCCGGAACUGCACUGGAUACUGCUUUGCUAGAGUACUGGAGAGGAGAUUGGAAUUUACGGUGUAGCAGUGAAAUGCGUAGAUAUCGUAAGGAAGACCAGUGGCGAAGGCGAAUCUCUGGACAGUUACUGACACUGAGGCACGAAGGCCAGGGGAGCAAACGGG
rnacentral:rRNA from 1 species